CCUACGGGUGGCAGCAGUGGGGAAUAUUGGGCAAUGGGCGCAAGCCUGACCCAGCAACGCCGCGUGAAGGAAGAAGGCUUUCGGGUUGUAAACUUCUUUUCUCAGGGACGCAGCAAGUGACGGUACCUGAUGAAUAAGCCACGGCUAACUACGUGCCAACAGCCGCCGUAAUACGUAGGUGGCAAGCGUUAUCCGGAUUUACUGGGUGUAAAGGGCGUGUAGGCGGGACUGCAAGUCAGAUGUGAAAACCACGGGCUCAACCUGUGGCCCGCAUGUGAAACUGGAGUUCUUGAGUACUGGAGAGGCAGACGGAAUUCCUGGUGUAGCGGUGAAAUGCGUAGAUAUUAGGAGGAACACCGGUGGCGAAGGCGGUCUGCUGGAC
rnacentral:rRNA from 1 species